rnacentral:rRNA from 1 species
AUUCUCUGAGCGUUGCAGCGGAAAGUCUAGUGAACCCUGUCACUUAGAGGAAGGAGAAGUCGUAACAAGGUUUCCGUAGGUGAACCUGCGGAAGGAUCAUUC